CUGGUUGAUCCUGCCAGUAGUCAUAUGCUUGUCUCAAAGAUUAAGCCAUGCAUGUCUAAGUAUAAGCAAUCUAUACAGUGAAACUGCGAAUGGCUCAUUAAAUCAGUUAUCGUUUAUUUGAUAGUACCUUACUACUUGGAUAACCGUGGUAAUUCUAGAGCUAAUACAUGCUAAAAAUCCCGACCUCUGGAAGGGAUGUAUUUAUUAGAUAAAAAACCAAUGCCUUCGGGCUCCUUGGUGAUUCAUGAUAACUUUACGAAUCGCAUGGCCUUGUGCCGGCGAUGGUUCAUUCAAAUUUCUGCCCUAUCAACUUUCGAUGGUAGGAUAGUGGCCUACCAUGGUUUCAACGGGUAACGGGGAAUUAGGGUUCUAUUCCGGAGAGGGAGCCUGAGAAACGGCUACCACAUCCAAGGAAGGCAGCAGGCGCGCAAAUUACCCAAUCCCGACACGGGGAGGUAGUGACAAUAAAUACUGAUACAGGGCCCUUUCGGGUCUUGUAAUCGGAAUGAGUACAAUUUAAAUCCCUUAACGAGGAACAAUUGGAGGGCAAGUCUGG
rnacentral:rRNA from 1 species